UUGGGCCUCAGGAUUAGGGCUGUGACUAGCUGAUGGGGCUGUUCCUUGUAGGAGAGACCUGGCCCUUCUGCCGUCCUGGGCCGGCAGACACCGUGGCCAUGAUUCAGGAGACUCUGGAGGAGGUGUUAGUCCUGGGUAGGAGGUUUGGUGUCCUAGUACUUACAGGUCCUUCCAAAUCCUAAAUCACUGUGACUGUCUAUCUGCUCAGGCUGAGAUUGCACAAGAGGCCUGGGUCCUCUCAUGUCUGGAGGGCUCUGGGUAGACCAAUGAGCCCCCUCUUUCUUGUAUCUUCUGGACUCUUCUCUGUGUCCUGGAGAGACACCUUUGUCCCACUCCUCCUCCACCCAAACUCCAGGGUCUGACUUCUGUAUUUAAUUGUCCAAAUAGCACUUAUUCAGUUCCGUUCCGUUCCUUCUGUAGGCCAGGCUCUGUGGGUGCUAGGGACUUGGGAAGAGAGGGAGAAAGAAAAUAGCAAGUACUGUCACGGAGGAGUUCCCGGAGAGGAGGACCUCAACUCAGGACAGGUGGGGUCCUUGGCGUAUAUGGAUGGAAAAGGAUUUCAGCACAUGCUGAUCAGAGACACAGAGAUUUAUUUAAGUUACAGCUACACAUUCAAUGGGGGAAUUCAGGUUAUCUCAAGAGUGGGACAUCUUUUGGGAUAAAGCAAGUAACACAUUCCAGGGAGAAUGUAGGCCAUCUCCAGGGGAGAGAGAUAGCAACCCGUUGGUCUGGGGUGUAAAUAUUUGGAGAGUGAUGGUAGCUAGGGCCUAAACUAGAGGUGGAAUCAGGGGGGACUUACACAAUUUCAGCCAGUUUUCUCUAUGCUUGAGCAUUGCCUUUGAAU
rnacentral:lncRNA from 1 species